rnacentral:lncRNA from 1 species
AACAGGACUUUUCCCCACAAUCAUUUGUAAUCAGAGAUGUCAGGAGCAGCCUCGAGAAAAAACAUGCAAUGAUCCUUACCAAGUGCACGGCCAAUUUUUGAACCCGACUUAGUUUCCCAGUGGAAACCAGGUAUAAGUUCCUGCUCCUCUGCACACUAUAAGAAGAACUUUGCCAUCAGUUUAUGAUCUAAUUAGUCCAUCUACAUGUUUAUUACUCAGGAGGCACUUUGCCUGACAGAGAGAAGCCAUAAGGUAAAAACAGUUUGCAGCCUGUCUGCUCUUGAGCCACAGUAACUAUCACCUCCUGUUUCUUCUCUGUUCCAGGCAACAUGCAGAGGGGGAGAGAGGAGAAAAGUGGCAAACUCUGACCCCUCACAAGGAAAUAAACUGUCUUAGACAUUCAAGGAAAUCCACAAUGUUUAUCUAUAAUAAGUUACUUUCAUUUUAUUCUGUCAUAUUUCAAUACAGUCUGACUUUCUUUUCUUUAUUUUUUAUAUUUAAGAGAGGUUUUAUGACUGUUACAUUGUUCAGAUUAACAGGUGAUAUUCUAAAUU